rnacentral:lncRNA from 1 species
UUUAUCAUUUAGGACUGAAAACUGGUUUCAUUUUAAUCAAUGGUAGAAGUUUAAUUACUUUCAGUGAGAGGAGAUUCAGGCCUUAUGUGGCAUAAGAAGAACUUGACGUUGUGGUUUCUUCUGAUUUUUAUGUGUGUUUCUGUUCUCUCCAAUAGGGCAAUAUACUGCUCCUUGCUUUGUUGCUGUUGGCACACCUGGGAAAAUAUCCUGUCCCCUCUGGCUUAGAAAAAAUGAUGUGUGCAAGGCAUCACGAUGCCACAUCUCCUGUAUGACUGCAAAAAGUG